AGAGUUUGAUCCUGGCUCAGAUUGAACGCUGGCGGCAUGCCUUACACAUGCAAGUCGAACGGCAGCACGGGGGCAACCCUGGUGGCGAGUGGCGAACGGGUGAGUAACAUAUCGGAACAUACCCUAGAGUGGGGGAUAACGUAGCGAAAGUUACGCUAAUACCGCAUACGAUCUAAGGAUGAAAGUGGGGGAUCUUCGGGCCUCAUGCUCAUGGAGUGGCCGAUAUCUGAUUAGCUAGUUGGUGAGGUAAAGGCUCACCAAGGCGACGAUCAGUAGCUGGUUUGAGAGAACGACCAGCCACACUGGAACUGAGACACGGUCCAGACUCCUACGGGAGGCAGCAGUGGGGAAUUUUGGACAAUGGGGGCAACCCUGAUCCAGCAAUGCCGCGUGAGUGAAGAAGGCCUUCGGGUUGUAAAGCUCUUUUGUCAGGGAAGAAACGGUGAGUUCUAAUACAGCUUGCUAAUGACGGUACCUGAAGAAUAAGCACCGGCUAACUACGUGCCAGCAGCCGCGGUAAUACGUAGGGUGCAAGCGUUAAUCGGAAUUACUGGGCGUAAAGCGUGCGCAGGCGGUUAUAUAAGUCAGAUGUGAAAUCCCUGGGCUCAACCUAGGAACUGCAUUUGAGACUGUAUGGCUAGAGUGUGUCAGAGGGGGGUAGAAUUCCACGUGUAGCAGUGAAAUGCGUAGAGAUGUGGAGGAAUACCGAUGGCGAAGGCAGCCCCCUGGGAUAACACUGACGCUCAUGCACGAAAGCGUGGGGAGCAAACAGGAUUAGAUACCCUGGUAGUCCACGCCCU
rnacentral:rRNA from 1 species